rnacentral:misc_RNA from 1 species
GUGAAUUGAAUAUGUUAGCGGACCUCUUCGGAGUCCCUAGGCAUCAAAUCAUAUCCAUAACACCUGUGAACUGUAAGGCUGUCUGGAAAAACGAAAGUGAUUAAGGAGCGCCUGCCCAUUUUAUACAAACAUUAAAAGUAACAAAACGUAGGUCUUAUUAUAAUCUAAUA